AAAUCUUUAUGCCACAUCUCACAUAACAUAGCAUUUUUAGGUCCGGUAAAUAGUCUAAAGACAAAGGGUUGGUGUUGUUUAGGAUUUAUUUUUGGUUGUUCACUUUGUUUAAUCUAAUACAGGCCUUCUUUAUGCUUCUCUUGCAACAGAAUUUUGCGCGAGGCUUUGUCCUUAACAAAACAACUAAGAGAAUUAAAUUCAACGUCAACAUUAUUUAAGACAACAAGCUUUGAAAGACUAAUCAAGUUCUU
rnacentral:lncRNA from 1 species